rnacentral:rRNA from 1 species
AGAGUUUGAUCCUGGCUCAGAUUGAACGCUGGCGGCAGGCCUAACACAUGCAAGUCGAGCGGCAGCGGAAAGUAGCUUGCUACUUUGCCGGCGAGCGGCGGACGGGUGAGUAAUGUCUGGGAAACUGCCUGAUGGAGGGGGAUAACUACUGGAAACGGUAGCUAAUACCGCAUAACGUCGCAAGACCAAAGAGGGGGACCUUCGGGCCUCUUGUCAUCAGAUGUGCCCAGAUGGGAUUAGCUAGUAGGUGAGGUAACGGCUCACCUAGGCGACGAUCCCUAGCUGGUCUGAGAGGAUGACCAGCCACACUGGAACUGAGACACGGUCCAGACUCCUACGGGAGGCAGCAGUGGGGAAUAUUGCACAAUGGGCGCAAGCCUGAUGCAGCCAUGCCGCGUGUAUGAAGAAGGCCUUCGGGUUGUAAAGUACUUUCAGCGGGGAGGAAGGCGUUGUGGUUAAUAACCACAGCGAUUGACGUUACCCGCAGAAGAAGCACCGGCUAACUCCGUGCCAGCAGCCGCGGUAAUACGGAGGGUGCAAGCGUUAAUCGGAAUUACUGGGCGUAAAGCGCACGCAGGCGGUCUGUCAAGUCGGAUGUGAAAUCCCCGGGCUCAACCUGGGAACUGCAUUCGAAACUGGCAGGCUAGAGUCUUGUAGAGGGGGGUAGAAUUCCAGGUGUAGCGGUGAAAUGCGUAGAGAUCUGGAGGAAUACCGGUGGCGAAGGCGGCCCCCUGGACAAAGACUGACGCUCAGGUGCGAAAGCGUGGGGAGCAAACAGGAUUAGAUACCCUGUAGUCCACGCCGUAAACGAUGUCGACUUGGAGGUUGUGCCCUUGAGGCGUGGCUUCCGGAGCUAACGCGUUAAGUCGACCGCCUGGGGAGUACGGCCGCAAGGGUAAAACUCAAAGGAAUUGACGG